UGAAUACGAGAUGCUACGGCGUCGAAGCAGUCUAUGUCAUACUUCCAAGAAAAGCUUGCACUGUCAUAAACAAAUAAUGCCUGUACCAUAACCGACACAGGUGGGUAGGUAGAGUAUACUAAGGGGCGCGAGAUAACUCUCUCUAAGGAACUCGGCAAAAUGACUCCGUAACUUCGGGAGAAGGAGUGCCUUAUUUUAUAAGGUUGCAAUAACAAGAUCCAAGCAACUGUUUACCAAAAACACAGGUCUCCGCCAAGUCGUAAGACGAUGUAUGGGGGCUGACGCCUGCCCAGUGCCAGAAGGUUAAAGAAGUUGGUUAGCAUCCGCGAAGCUGAUAACUGAAGCCCUGGUGAACGGCGGCCGUAACAAUAACGGUCCUAAGGUAGCGAAAUUCCUUGUCGGGUAAGUUCCGACCCGCACGAAAGGCGUAAUGAUUUGGAUACUGUCUCAGAGAGGGGCUCGGUGAAAUAGACUUGUCUGUGAAGAUGCGGACUACCUGCACCAGGACAGAAAGACCCUAUGAAGCUUUACUGUAACUUGAAAUUGAAAUUGGACUUUACUUGCGCAGUAUAGGUGGGAGGCGUUGAGAAUAUUCUUGCGGGAAUGUUGGAGCCAUCAGUGAGAUACCACUCUUGUAAUGUUGGAUUUCUAACUUUGUAUCAUUAUCUGGUCAAAGGACAGUUUCAGGCGGGCAGUUUGACUGGGGCGGUCGCCUCCCAAACGGUAACGGAGGCGCACAAAGGUUUCCUCUGAACGGGUAGAAAUCGUAUCUAGAGUGUAAAGGCAUAAGGAAGCUUGACUGUGAGACCUACAAGUCGAGCAGGGACGAAAGUCGGUCUUAGUGAUCUGACGGUGCUGAGUGGAAAGGCCGUCACUCAACGGAUAAAAGUUACUCUAGGAUAACAGGCUGAUCUCCCCCAAGAGUUCACAUCGACGGGGAGGUUUGGCACCUCGAUGUCGGCUCAUCGCAUCCUGGGGCGGUAGUACGUCCCAAGGGUUGGGCUGUUCGCCCAUGAAAGCGGUACGCGAGCUGGGUUCAGAACGUCGUGAGACAGUUCGGUCCAUAUCCGGUGUAGGCGUUAGAAUAUUGAGAGGAGCCUUCUUUAGUACGAGAGGACCGAGAAGGACAUACCUCUGGUGUACCAGUUAUCGUGCCAACGGUAAACGCUGGGUAGCUAUGUAUGGAGUGGAUAACCGCUGAAAGCAUCUAAGUGGGAAGCCCACCUCAAGAUAAG
rnacentral:rRNA from 1 species